GUGAAUCAUCAAAUUUUUGAACGCAAAUUGCACUCUCCUCUGUUAGUAUGCCUGUUUCAGGUUCAGCCUAUAAAAUAUCAACAUCGUUUCUGUUUCGCGGUGGCGUUCGUUGGAAAUUGGGUCAUCUUAAAUCCUUUUGGUUUUUAAGCGACGUAAAAUUUUCUUUUUGGUUCCUUCAACUUUUCUAAGAUUUAUUUUUUUCCACGUUUAUGUUAUC
rnacentral:misc_RNA from 1 species